UACGGAAGGCAGCAGUGGGGAAUAUUGCACAAUGGGCGCAAGCCUGAUGCAGCCAUGCCGCGUGUAUGAAGAAGGCCUUCGGGUUGUAAAGUACUUUCAGUCGUGAGGAAGGUGUUAAGGUUAAUAACCUUAGCAAUUGACGUUAGCGACAGAAGAAGCACCGGCUAACUCCGUGCCAGCAGCCGCGGUAAUACGGAGGGUGCGAGCGUUAAUCGGAAUUACUGGGCGUAAAGGGCACGCAGGCGGUUAAUUAAGUUGGAUGUGAAAUCCCCGGGCUUAAACCUGGGAAUGGCAUUCAAGACUGGUUAGCUAGAGUCUUGUAGAGGGGGUAGAAUUCCAUGUGUAGCGGUGAAAUGCGUAGAGAUGUGGAGGAAUACCGGUGGCGAAGGCGGCCCCUGGACAAAGACUGACGCUCAUGUGCGAAAGCGUGGGGAGCAAACAGGGAUUAGAUAACC
rnacentral:rRNA from 1 species